rnacentral:rRNA from 1 species
AAUACGGGGGGUGCAAGCGUUAUCCGGAUUCACUGGGUUUAAAGGGUGCGUAGGUGGGCAGGUAAGUCAGUGGUGAAAUCUCCGGGCUUAACCCGGAAACUGCCAUUGAUACUAUCUGUCUUGAAUACCCUGGAGGUGAGCGGAAUAUGUCAUGUAGCGGUGAAAUGCUUAGAUAUGACAUAGAACACCCAUUGCGAAGGCAGCUCACUACGGGACUAUUGACACUGAGGCACGAAAGCGUGGGGAUCAAACAGG